rnacentral:rRNA from 1 species
UACAGAGGUCUCGAGCGUUAGGCGGAAUCACUGGGCUUAAAGCGUGUGUAGGCGGAUCGUUAAGUGCCUUGUGAAAUCCCACGGCUUAACCGUGGAACUGCUUGGCAUACUGGCGGUCUUGAGCAACCUAGGGGCGAGCGGAACAAAUGGUGGAGCGGUGAAAUGCGUAGAUAUCAUUUGGAACGCCAAUGGUGAAACAGCUCGCUGGGGUUGCUGACGCUGAGACACGAAGCCAGGGAGCAAACGGG